rnacentral:rRNA from 1 species
AACGAACGCUGGCGGCAGGCCUAACACAUGCAAGUCGAGCGAGACCUUCGGGUCUAGCGGCGGACGGGUGAGUAACGCGUGGGAAUAUGCCCUUUGGUACGGAAUAGCCUCGGGAAACUGAGUGUAAUACCGUAUGUGCCCUUCGGGGGAAAGAUUUAUCGCCAAAGGAUUAGCCCGCGUUGGAUUAGGCAGUUGGUGGGGUAAUGGCCUACCAAGCCUACGAUCCAUAGCUGGUUUGAGAGGAUGAUCCGCCACACUGGGCCUGGGACACGGCCCAGACUCCUACGGGAGGCAGCAGUGGGGAAUCUUGGACGAUGGGGGCAACCCUGAUCUAGCCAUGCCGCGUGAGUGAUGAAGGCCUUAGGGUUGUAAAGCUCUUUCAGCUGGGAAGAUAAUGACGGUACCAGCAGAAGAAGCCCCGGCUAACUCCGUGCCAGCCGCCGCAGUAAGAC